AGAUAAGCGAUUGUGGGAAGAAAGAAAACUGUGAUGUUUUACUCACCUGGAGCGAUGUAUCCGUAAGACCCAGCAACAGCUGACAUGGACUUUGAGUAAGAGAGAUCAAUCAACUUAGCCAGGCCAAAAUCUCCAACAUGAGCCUGGAACCGUUCAUCAAGAAGAAUGUUGUUCGAUUUUAUGUCGCGAUGGACUAUUUGAGGUCUGCAAUCAUGAUGGAGAUAACACAAACCCUCUGCAGCACCGAGGGCGAUUCUAUACCGAGCAUUCCAAUCCAACAAACAGUUUUUCUCACCUCGCUGUAGUUGUUCGCCGAGGCUUCCUUUUGACAUGUACUCAUACAAGAGAAGAUUUGAAUUCUGGUGAUAGCAGAAACCAUAUAGCUUCACAAUAUUCCGGUGCCUUAUCUUUCCAAGAGUUGAUAUCUCAGCUCUGAAACUAUUAUCAGAACUAGCUCCUUCACCGCGAGAAUUCAGCUUCUUUACAGCUAUCACCUCGCCACCUGACAUUUCAGCUUUGUAGACUGUUCCACACGCUCCUCUCCCUAAAACCACGUCUUCGGAAAAGUUUCUGGUUGCAUCCACGAGGCCUUGAUAUGUGAAACCUUUUUUAGGGAAAUAGUAGCUGUCCAUGACAUCUGGUUUUGUUUGAUCCUCAAGUGCAACAAACGCUGGUUCCCGCCGCUUUAUUGUCCAACAGAGACCAAGAAAAGUGAUAAGAAAAACCGACCCGAUUACAAUACAAGUGAUUGUCAAGAUCUUUUGCCUUUGCGAACCGUUGAUUAACCAAUUUAGCUUUGAAUCAGAAUGUGGGACAAGUGGUUGACAAUGGCUUCUCUGAGAGUUACACAAACCAUGGUUUCCAGCAAAGUUCGAUGAAUCCAUCCGCUGGAACACGGCUGUGUCUGGUACUGUUCCGACCAAGUUAUUGUUUGAGAUAUUGCAGAUGAGGAGGCUCAUGAGAUUCCCAAUUGAUGCAGGGAUCUCACCUGAAAGCUUGUUGUCGUUGAGAGAGGUUAACUUCCCGAGCUCCACUGGGAUGUUUUCAGACAAGAGAUUGCCUCCUAGUUGUAACUCCAUGAGCCGAGUAAGAUCUCCAAAGCUAUGAGGAAUUUCUCCGGUCAAUCUAUUAUCAGACAAUCUCAAAAUCUCCAAAUAUACCAACUGACCAAGCUCUUGUGCUAUGUAUCCGGAAAACUUGUUGCCACUAAGGUCAAGCCUCUGGAUAGUGACACAACUUCCCAACUCUUUAGGGAUGUGACCAGUGAGCUGAUUGGAGGAGAUGUUAAAGCCAACAAUCUUUGUGAGAUUCCCAAUCUCAGGAGGAAUUUCACCAGUAAAAUUGUUGUUAGCUAGACGCAGUCUUUCCAAAUUCUUCAGCUUUCCCAGGUCUGCAGAUAUAUUCCCUGAUAACCAGUUUUGGUGAAGCUCUAAUGCAGUAAGGUUCUGAAGAUUAAAUAAUUCAAUGGGAAGGCUUCCUGUUAGCUGGUUAUCGCCUAGCAUUAGCUUUGUCAGUGACUUGCAGGUUUUCAGAUCACGAGGGAUGUUUCCUGAUAACUUGUUUGAACCAAGACUCAGAAGUAUUAGCGUCUGAAAUCUGCAGAAGUGGGCAGGAAUUGGACCAGACAGAGAAUUGGCAGACAUGUCAAGAACAGAAAAAUUGCUAUAGAAACCGAUUAAAGGAGGUAUCUUCCCUUCAAGCUGGUUGUCAAAAAGCUGCAAAUCUACAAGGUAAGGUAGGAACUGAAGCUCUUGCGGGAUAGUACCGUUUAGUCUAUUGAUAGACAAGUCUAGCUUCUCCAACAGUGUCAAUUCCCCAAGCUCCCUAGGAAUUGGACCUAGAAGAAUGUUCUCAAAAAGAUGAAGUAAUUUGAGAUUCAGGAUAUGACCAAACUCUUUUGGUAUGAAACCUGUUAACUGAUUCUCCGAAAAAUCUAUCUCAGCUGCAUCUAUCAAGUUGCCUAUUUCGCGAGGUAUCUCUCCGGUUAACUGGUUUGUGUAAAGGUACAGCCUUUUCAUCUUUGUGAGCUUCCCAAUCUCUCUUGGAAUUGAUCCCGUGAAGUAGUUUUCAUGCAGCGCAAGCACCUCCAGUCUGCUGAUGUUUCCUACGGAAGGAGGUAUCUCACCAGAUAGACGGUUUUGCCAGAGUAUCAAAUCAGUAAGAUUUUGAAGCUUCUCGAGCUGCUUAGGAAGAGAACCCUCAAGAAGAUUCUCUGCUAAUCCAAGUACCUUUAGGCUCUCGCAUCCGCUGAUUUCAGACGGAAUCACACCCGAGAAUCCAUUCCGUCCUGCCCUAAUGAUCCGGAGCUGUCUCAAUUUCGCCAUGGAAGGAGGGAUUACACCGGUGAGAUUAUUGCUGUAGAUCACAAGCUCUUGGAGUGAACUCAAAUUACCGAUUUGUCUAGGGAUAGAACCGAAAAGAUAAUUCUCGCAUAGAUACAGCUUCUUAAGAGUGAUGAUCAUGGUUAGCUGAAUUGGUAUCACUCCAUGGAACCUAUUUGUGCAGAGAUCAAGAACCUCUAGACUUCGACAGAGAGAUAAAUCUUGAGGGAUUGGACCAGAGAUGAAGUUGGUGGAGACAUUCAAUUUCCUUAAACCAUGAAGCUUGCAUAUGAGAGGAGAUAGUGUACCUGAUAGAUUCAUCCCAUUUAGAUCAACAGAAGUUACAGUUCUGAGAUGGGUACACGCGAUUCCGGUCCAGUUGCAGGGAUUUGAAUCCAACUGAUUCCAGCUUGCGAGAUAGCCAUUGGAGUCAUUAAGGAAAGCUUUAAACUCCAGAAGAACACGCCCUUCUUCGUUUAAGGAUCUUACUAAGAUGAAGGAGAAAGAACAGAGAAUCACUAUUGCCAAGAAACAUAUCCUCCCUCUCAUUUUUACAAGUUAGCUUUGGUAAGAACACAGAGUGAUCGCUGAACACAUAUG
rnacentral:lncRNA from 1 species